rnacentral:rRNA from 1 species
CGAAAGCCUGACGGAGCAAUACCGCGUGAGGGAGGAAGGCUCUUGGGUUGUAAACCUCUUUUCUCAGGGAAGAAUAAAUGACGGUACCUGAGGAAUCAGCAUCGGCUAACUCCGUGCCAGCAGCCGCGGUAAUACGGAGGAUGCAAGCGUUAUCCGGAAUGAUUGGGCGUAAAGCGUCCGCAGGUGGCAUUGAAAGUCUGCUCUCAAAGAGUCUGGCUCAACCAGAUAAAGGCAGUGGAGACUACAAAGCUAGAGUACGUUCGGGGCAGAGGGAAUUCCUGGUGUAGCGGUGAAAUGCGUAGAGAUCAGGAAGAACACCGGUGGCGAAAGCGCUCUGCUAGGCCGUAACUGACACUGAGGGACGAAAGCUAGGGGAGCGAAUGGGAUUAGAUACCCCAGUAGUCCUAGCCGUAAACGAUGGAUACUAGGUGUUGCUUGUAUCGACCCGAGCAGUACCGUAGCUAACGCGUUAAGUAUCCCGCCUGGGGAGUACGCAGGCAACUGUGAAACUCAAAGGAAUUGACGGGGGCCCGCACAAGCGGUGGAGUAUGUGGUUUAAUUCGAUGCAACGCGAAGAACCUUACCAGGGCUUGACAUGUCGCGAAUCUCAGGGAAACUUGAGAGUGCCUUCGGGAGCGCGAACACAGGUGGUGCAUGGCUGUCGUCAGCUCGUGUCGUGAGAUGUUGGGUUAAGUCCCGCAACGAGCGCGACCCUCGUUUUUAGUUGCCAUCAUUAAGUUGGGCACUCUAGAGAGACUGCCGGUGACAAACCGGAGGAAGGUGGGGAUGACGUCAAGUCAGCAUGCCCCUUACGUCCUGGGCUACACACGUACUACAAUGCUACGAACAGAGGGCAGCAAGCUAGCGAUAGCAAGCUAAUCCCGGAAAUCGUAGCUCAGUUCAGAUCGCAGGCUGCAACCCGCCUGCGUGAAGUUGGAAUCGCUAGUAAUUGCAGGUCAGCAUACUGCAGUGAAUUCGUUCCCGGGCCUUGUACACACCGCCCGUCACACCAUGGAAGCUGGUAGUGCCCGAAGUCAUUACACCAACUUUCGAGAGGGGGAUGCCUAAGGCAGGA